rnacentral:lncRNA from 1 species
GGGCAACAUUACCUUGGCCAAAAUCUUUUUACUUAUCUGGGAGAUAGCCUCCUUAUUUGUAAGUUUUUGAGAAGGCUGGGAAGAUUUGGACUAGAUGAUUGUCAUUUGCAGAUAUCACCCAGAA